UACGGAGGGUGCAAGCGUUGUUCGGAAUCAUUGGGCGUAAAGCGCGUGUAGGCGGCUUGGCAAGUCAGUUGUGAAAGCCCGGGGCCCAACCCCGGAAUUGCAUCUGAAACUGCCUAGCUAGAGUCCCGGAGAGGAAGGCAGAAUUCCCGGUGUAGGGGUGAAAUCCGUAGAUAUCGGGAGGAAUACCAGCGGCGAAGGCGGCCUUCUGGACGGUGACUGACGCUGAGACGCGAAAGCGUGGGGAGCAAACAGG
rnacentral:rRNA from 1 species